rnacentral:tRNA from 1 species
GUUAAUGUAGCUUAUCUUUCAAAGCAAGGCACUGAAAAUGCCUAGAUGAGUAUUUUUACUCCAUAAACA